UGCCGACCAAGAAAUCUUGCAAAAAGAAUUUAUUAUUGCUGUAAUAUUUUUAUAUUAGUGUCCAUAUGUAAAUACAUUACAAUUAAAAUGCAUUAUUCGACGAUGGUCAAACUUCGCUUUCCGCUAGUGUUUGGUGGGAUACUGGCGGGUUUCUCGAUCGCUUUUAUAAAUAGGGAUAAAUUUAUGACUGACUUGGAUGAAAAGCGUCAGGAAAUGUACCGAAAUGAAGAAGAAGGUUCCAGACAGAUCAUGCUGGACACGAUUGAAUCAGUCAAAAGAAUUCAAGCCGCCAAGCGAGCGCAACGUGAAUGAUAUUUAAAUAAAAUGCACCUUUUCCGUU